ensembl:lncRNA
GGGGACUGCUCGCUGCUCGCCUAAAAUCGGCUAAAAAUGGAACCUGCAUGUUAUUUAUGGUGAGAGUGGAUGGAGGGGCUCAGCCUGACUCCCCCCCACCUCAGGCCUGACCAGUGAGGAAGAGGAUGCUAUGUUAUCAAUAUAACAAUAAAGAGAGGAUGAGAGGAUGGAGUGAAGGAAACAAGGAAGCAGAAAGAGGAGAAUGGAAGAGCGAAGCCAUGAUGGCCAUCCAGCAAGGGACACAGACACAAGACCUUUGAUCCUUUUGAACCCAGCAGGGACUAUUCACUGAUGAGCUGGUUCAACAGCACCAAUGGAUCCACAUCAGCGAUCAGACUCACUGGCUUAAAAUAGCUACUUCUAAAUAAACAUGAGCCUAUUACCCUGAAGAAAGUUCACCAUAAUGUAUACUGAAACCCACCACAAACUCUGAUGAAUGUUUAACAUAUGCUGGGUUUCUCAGAUAUAUUAAUGUGCCCUUGUGACACAAACUCUGAAUGUCCCGGGCUUCACAAGAGGACGCAAAUAGACGUUAACACAAGCUUCACGGAUAUCGCGCAACUUAGCAGCCACACCAAGGUUCCUCCACCUGGAGCCUUCUUCCUGAUCUAAUAAGGAUUUCGUUUUUUGCCUUAUCUUUGAAGUAUUAAUAGAUUUUGUCUAUAACAUCAAGGCCCUUUAUUUAAUCAGAAUUGUACACAUUUUCAGGUGUGUGUUAAAACUUUGGGGGGUUGUAUGCAGUUAGCGCAGAACUACCAGUUGCCGUCUAGUUUCAAAGCAGCUGAUCGCAGGUCAGCGUUUAUGGGCAACAACUCACGACUGUGACAUUUGCUGACCUUUAAUAAUGUAAUGACUCAGAUCUAUACUCAGCUCGCCUUCCUUUUUCUCUCUUUCACAACCUUUUCUCUAUAAAACACACACAUAGCGUAUCGUAUUCCCUGCCUUCCUCUAGUUACUGCAGUUUAGGUUUCCUUGCCUAGAUCUUCUCACCUUACCUCUUCAGAAAUCUGAGUCACAGUGCAAAGAGAAACCAGAACUAAAGAUCUACACAACUAUUUUCAUGCCAUCAUGCACUCCUAGAAGUAAUCACCGUGUUUAUAUCCCACCAUGAAUUCAGGUUUGAUAGGGAUUUGGUUUGGAUUUAACUUAGCAGCACGUGUUCGUUAAGGAUUCCUGUAAUGAUUCUUUUAGUACUUUUGAGGAAAC